CGCGGCCUAUCAGCUUGUUGGUGAGGUAACGGCUCACCAAGGCAUCGACGGGUAGCUGGUCUGAGAGGACGAUCAGCCACACUGGGACUGAGACACGGCCCAGACUCCUACGGGAGGCAGCAGUAGGGAAUCUUGCGCAAUGGGCGAAAGCCUGACGCAGCAACGCCGCGUGGGGGAUGAAUGCCUUCGGGUUGUAAACCCCUUUCAGCAGGGACGAAAAUGACGGUACCUGCAGAAGAAGCUCCGGCCAACUACGUGCCAGCAGCCGCGGUAAUACGUAGGGAGCGAGCGUUGUCCGGAAUUAUUGGGCGUAAAGAGCUCGUAGGCGGUUCAGUAAGUCGGGUGUGAAAACUCAAGGCUCAACCUUGAGACGCCACUCGAUACUGCUGUGACUUGAGUCCGGUAGAGGAGAGUGGAAUUCCUGGUGUAGCGGUGAAAUGCGCAGAUAUCAGGAGGAACACCAGCGGCGAAGGCGGCACUCUGGGCCGGUACUGACGCUGAGGAGCGAAAGCAUGGGGAGCAAACAGGAUUAGAUACCCUGGUAGUCCAUGCCGUAAACGUUGGGCACUAGGUGUGGGUCCCAUCCAACGGGAUCCGCGCCGCAGCUAACGCAUUAAGUGCCCCGCCUGGGGAGUACGG
rnacentral:rRNA from 1 species